rnacentral:rRNA from 1 species
CAAGUCACGGGGGUCCCGCAAGGGAUAACCGGCGAACGGGUGCGUAACACGUGAACAACCUGCCCUCGUGUGGGGGAUAGCCGGGCUAACGCCCGGGUAAUACCGCAUACGUUCUUUCGGAGGAGUCUCUGGAAGAGGAAAGCUCCGGCGCACGGGGAGGGGUUCGCGGCCUAUCAGCUAGUUGGCGGGGUAAUGGCCCACCAAGGCGACGACGGGUAGCUGGUCUGAGAGGAUGGCCAGCCACAUUGGGACUGAGAGACGGCCCAGACUCCUACGGGAGGCAGCAGUGGGGAAUCUUGCGCAAUGGUCGAAAGACUGACGCAGCGACGCCGCGUGUGGGAGGACGCCUUUCGGGGUGUAAACCACUGUUGCCCGGGACGAAACGGUCGAUUCAUUGACCCUGACGGUACCGGGUGAGGAAGCACCGGCUAACUCCGUGCCAGCAGCCGCGGUAAUACGGAGGGUGCGAGCGUUGUCCGGAAUCAUUGGGCGUAAAGGGCGCGUAGGUGGCCCAGUCAGCGUGCGGUGAAAAGCUCGGGGCUCAACCCCGAGUCGGCCGUGCGAACUACUGGGCUGGAGCACUGUAGAGGCAGGCGGAAUUCCGGGUGUAGCGGUGGAAUGCGUAGAGAUCC